rnacentral:rRNA from 1 species
UACGUAGGUGGCAAGCGUUGUCCGGAUUUACUGGGCGUAAAGGGCGUGUAGGCGGCCUGUUAAGUCAGGGGUGAAACUCCGGGGCUCAACCCCGGGCGUGCCUCUGAAACUGAUGGGCUUGAGUGCUCUAGAGGGCAGUGGAAUUCCCGGUGUAGCAGUGAAAUGCGUAGAGAUCGGGAGGAACACCAGUGGCGAAGGCGGCUGCCUGGGGAGUAACUGACGCUGAGGCGCGAAAGCUAGGGGAGCAAACAGG